rnacentral:lncRNA from 1 species
GGCCUCCCUCCGCCUCUAGCUGACCACAUUUCUGGGGCCGGUCUCAUUUGCUUACGCUAAAGUGGACCUAUGAGGUCAAAGGGCAUUACAGGCUUUUUGGCAGAUGCAGCUGAAGGACCUCUGGAAGGACUGUGCCAACGCAUGCACCAGCCUGCGUGGUCCCCCAUCCCUGUGGCUGGUGAUCCUGGGGUGACACCCUGAUCCAGACUCUGUCUUUAUCCCGUAACAGAGGAGAGGGCACGUCACUGCCACAGGCGCCUUUCCUCCCAUGCCACAGCAAGAUGCAGACAAGCCACCCUCCCCAGACACACCCACUGCACGCUGCAGCAGGGCCCAGGGAGUUGAAUGUUCAGUCCAGGCCUCACCCCCGUGGUUCAGUGGGAUGCAGGGGGCCACACGGAAAUGCCAGAGGCAGCCUUCAAUAAGCAAAAGUCAAUAAGGCCCCCAAAGGCCUGGAUGCUUCAAGUCCAAGCACUCGGGGAUGGCGGAGGGAAGGUGCCGCCCUCAUCACAGGCUGGGCAUGGCUUCCCAGGGGGGAUGCCAGGGAGAGGCUCCAGAUGUUCGGAGCCUCAGCGUGCCCAAUGCUACUAGGUCAGACCUGGCUUUCACCUCCACAGUCCUUAAGAGCUGGUUCAAGACUGGGGUAUGAAUGAACCUUACCUCCGACCCACUGAGCAGAGCGUACCACGUCCUACCUGAGCCUGCUGCCUGAGCCUCAUGCCCCAAUGAGCAGAGUGUGCCGGGGGCUUGUGGGGGCUCAGGAAGAUGGGUCCUAUCCAAGACUGCCGCCUGAGUCUCACGCUGCAGCCCAGAGCUAGGACGGCACCACGGCCCCUCUUGAAGAACCCAGGGUCACCAAGGUCUGCUUGGACAAUGGGCUGGCUGCCACGCCCCGACCCCGCCCGUGCCCCCCGGGCCUCCCCAGCCCUGCCACUCACCAUAUGCUUCCUGCAGGUCAGCGGGACGAGGCCGUGGCAGCGCUUAUGGACCAGCAGUUUGCAGUUGAUGCACCUGUAGCCUUGCCUCGCGAGGCCCCAUAUCCUCUCGCUGCACUGACCGCAGUACGCUCUCUGCAGGUGGGAACAGAGCGUCAGGCCCAGGCCACACUGAGGGGCCAGCGGAGAGGACAGGCAGGGCCUUCCACACCUAUACCUUCUCAAAAGAGGACACUGAGCCGGGCAACAGGUGGCCCCGGCACCUUGUCCCUUCCGGGCGCCAGGCUUGCCCAAGCUUGAGAGCCUCCUCUUGGGUCUAUCCCAAGGUUGGGGGAACCAGUGGCCCCAAGGAGAGGCCUGGAACCCUGCUCUGCAUGAGGGGACACAGGGGAGGUGCCAUCGGGCAGGGGUGACGAGGUGCUGCUUCAGGCAAGGCCCCGUGGCUUGCAGGGGCUGGGGGGCUGCAGCUCCUGCUGCGCUCUGCGUAGAGCAGCCUGGGGUCCCGUCUAGGGCUAAGCAGAGUGUGUGGGGGUACCCCCUGCCUGACCUUCAUUCAAACAGAACCUCCUCCUGACAGCCUCAGAGAAGGGGAACUCGGACUCAUGAACAUCUUGAACUGCUACAUGGCAGCCUGCAAUUAUCUUAGUAUUCUUUGUUCAGUAUUUUUCAAGAUUUUAAAUGAUCCUUCUUUAUUCUUCAUGGUUCUGAACAAUUCCAAAAUGAUGGUAAUUAUCAGCUUGUUUGGCGAUGUUUUCAUGAACGUUUAAAUGUUACAAAAGGCAUGAGAAUGAAUGUUGUCGGGACCUGCUUGGACAUUUUCUGCCUUGCCUAAGUGCCCAAAGUGUUCCUGGGAGUAAAGGGGUGCAUCUGCACUGUCACCAUGUGCCCAGAGCCUCCAAUUCAGAUUCUUUCCAGACACAGCCCUUUCAUAUGCUUUUCCCUCUUUUACCAUUUUUCACAAAUUUCCUUCCUAUUACAGAGCUCACCUCACACCUGAGUUAAGACGAGGAAAUAUAGGCCGGGCGUGGUGGCUCACGCCUGUAAUCCCAGCACUUGGGGAGGCCGAGGCGGGUGGAUCAGGAGGUCAGGAGAUUGAGACCAUCCUGGCUAACACGGUGAAACCCCGUCUCUACUACAAAAUACAAAAAAUUAGCCAGGUGUGGUGGCGGGCACCUGUAGUCCCAGGUACUCGGGAGGCUGAGGCAGGAGAAUGGCGUGAACCCCGGAGGCGGAGCUUGCAGUGAGCCGAGAUUGCGUCACUGCACUCCAGCCUGGGCGACAGAGUGAGACUCCAUCUCAAAAAAAAAAAAAAAAAAAAAGAAGAGGAAAUACAGUGUACUGUGAACCGCCUGCACUGAAUUCACGUGAGGAAACGGGACUGAAGAGAAAAUACAGCACUGAGUUCACGUGAGGAACCGGGACCCUCAGCACAUGUGGGCAUCAGGUGCGGCUGAGCAAAGGGGGUCCAGACCCUCUACGGGACUCUCCUGCUCAUCAGAAGAGCCUGCUCGGGACGUCAGGGCCCGGGGACCCUCCCCCCGCCCACACAGCCCACUUGUUUGGGUGGGGCCGGAUGACCAGCACCUAGGACAGUGCCCAGCACACAGUGGGCAUCGGGUAAGAAAACACACAUGCAUCAUCGCUUUCAACUUCGUCACAGGAAAAAGGAGCCGACUCCACAUCCUCUGCACAUGCUACCUACAUCAGCCCAGCCAUGACAGAGCCACACCAGGACCGUGGGCUCUAUUCGAAGGAGGGAUGGGUGAGAGGGGGCAUCCCACCCAAGACCUCUGAUUCCGGGCCAAUCUAGCUUAAUGCCGGCAUUGGGAGUUUUGCCCCAGUCGGCACCUGCUGGAUGUGUGGACCCUGGAUUGAAAGGAGGCGCUUCGGCUGCUGGAUGUGUGGACCCUGGAUUGAAAGGAGGCGCUUCGGCUGCUAGAUGCCUGGACCCUGGAUUGAAAGGAGGGCGCUUCGGCUGCUGGAUGUGUGGACCCUGGAUUGAAAGGAGGCGCUUCGGCUGCUGGAUGCCUGGACCCUAGAGUGAAAGGAGGCGCUUCGGCUGCUGGAUGUGUGGACCCUGGAUUGAAAGGAGGCGCUUCGGCUGCUGGAUGUGUGGACCCUGGAGUGAAAGGAGGCGCUUCGGCUGCUGGAUGUGUGGACCCUGGAGUGAAAGGAGGCGCUUCGGCUGCUGGAUGUGUGGACCCUGGAGAGAAAGGAGGCGCUUCGGCUGUUGGAUGUGUGGACCCUGGAGUGAAAGGAGGCGCUUCGGCUGCUGGAUGUGUGGACCCUGGAUUGAAAGGAGGCGCUUCGGCUGCUGGAUGUGUGGACCCUGGAGUGAAAAGAGGCGCUUCGGCUGCUGGAUGUGUGGACCCUGGAGUGAAAGGAGGCGCUUCGGCUGCUGGAUGUGUGGACCCUGGAGUGAAAGGAGGCGCUUCGGCUGCUGGAUGCCUGGACCCUGGAGUGAAAGGAGGCACUUUGGCUGUGCAGACCUGCUCCAUUCUCCUCCGCGUCCACAGCGCAGAAGAACACCAGCUUCCAUUUCUAAAACCAUUAUUUAAAAGUCAAGUUCUUUUGGUAUAAUGUGCCUAAUGUGUUUGGCUUUCUCUAGGUCACCAUUUAACAUCUUACUCUGCAACACUACGGUCCUAGUUAAGACCAAAUUCACAGCCACCAGGUAUCUUUACAAAUUAACCAAGAUUGGCCAGGCGCAGUGGCUCAUGCCUGUAAUCCCAGCACUUUGGGAGGCCAAGGCGGGCGGAUCACUUGCGGUCAGGAGUUCGAGAUCAGCCUGACCAACAUGGAGAAACCCCAUCUCCACUAAAAGUACAAAAAUUAGCUGGGCGUGGUGGCGCACAUCUGUAAUCCCAGCUACUCGGGAGGCUGAAGCAGGAGAAUCACUUGAACCCAGGAGGCAGAGGUUGCAGUGAGUCAAGAUCACGCCACUGCACUCCAGCCUGGGCAACAGAGUGAGACUGUGUCUCAAAAAAAAAAAAAAAAAAGAAAAAGAAAAACAAACAAACAAACAAAAAACAAAUUGACCAAGGUUCCUUUCCGUGGGGAGCCACCCUUACCUGGGGUCAGGCCAGGACAUCUGCUGACAAGGGCAGUGUGAAUCUGCCAAGGGUUGGCACCCACCACAGAGACCUCACGUGUGUGCUUUGUAAGUGAGGCUGCCCAAGCUCUGUCAAAAGCUCUUGUUUCAAAUCUAUAUUUGAAUAGUAACAUUUCAGGAAAUGUGACAUUAAAAAAAUAAAACCUAAA